rnacentral:lncRNA from 1 species
AGAAAGAUGGCUCGUUGCAAUUGUGUAUUGAUUAUAGAUAGUUGAACAUGGUAACAAUUAAAAAUAAAUAUCCAUUACCUCGUAUCGAUGAUUUGUUUGAUCAACUGAAAGGUGCUGUAGUGUUCUCAAAGAUAGACCUUAUAUAUGGGUAUUAUCAAUUGAAGGUUAAAGAGUGUGAUGUACCAAAGACUACUUUUCGAACUCGGUAUGGUCACUACAAAUUUUUGGUAAUGCCUUUUGGUUUAACAAAUGCCCCUGUUGCAUUUAUGGAUUUAAUGAAUCAGAUUUUUUAGCCUUAUUUGGAUAGAUUUAUGGUGGUAUUUAUUGAUGACAUAUUGGUCUAUUCAAAGACAUAAUCUGAACAUGCAUAGCACUUGAGAAUUGUAUUACAGACUUUGAGAGAAAAGCAGUUAUAUGCAAAAUUUAGUAAAUGUGAGUUUUGAAUUCAUGAGGUUGGAUUUCUGGGUCAUAUUGUAUCAGCUGAAGGAAUUCGUUUGGAUCCAAGUAAAGUUUUAGCAGUGGUGAAUUGGAAAACACCGAAGAAUGUAACUGAAGUGCGAAGUUUUUUGGGAUUAGUAGGAUACUAUCACCAUUUUGUAAAGAAUUUUUCCAUGAUUGCUUCACCAAUGACUUGUUUAUUACAGAAGAAUGCUGAGUUUGUAUGGUCUGAUUAAUGUCAGUAGAGCUUUGAUAAGUUAAAGAAAAUGUUAACAAAAGCUCCAAUCUUGACUCAACCAGAAUUAGGUACACCGUAUGUUGUGUAUAGUGAUACAUCUUUAAAUGGUUUGGGUUGUGUGUUAAUACAGCCGGGAAAGGUGGUGGCUUAUGCUUCGCGACAGUUAAAACCACAUGAAAAGAAUUACCCUACACAUGAUCUUGAGUUAGCUGCAAUUGUUUUUGCUUUAAAAAUUUGGAGACAUUAUUUAUAUAGUGAGAAGUGUUAUAUUUAUACGGAUCACAAAAGUUUGAAAUACUUAAUAACUCAGAAGGAACAGAACUUAAGACAGAGACGGUGGCUAGAGUUGCUGAAAGACUAUGAUUUGGUUAUUGACUAUCAUCCAGGGAAAGCUAAUGUAGUUACUGAUGCACUUAGUCGAAAGUCAUCCUUGUUUGCACUUCGGGCAAUGAAUGCUCAUUUGGCUCUUAAUGAAGAAGGUGCUGUAUUAGUAGAAUUGAAAGUAAAACCAAUGUUCCUUCAACAAAUUCAGAAGCUGCAGAAUGAAGAUCUGAAAUUGGUGCUGAAACUGAAGAUGGUUCGGGAUAAUUUAGAUUUAGAGUUCAAUAUUGAUGAUGAAGGUAUGCUGCGUUAUCAUAAUAGGAUUUGUGUUCCAAAUAAUUCUGAUUUGAAGAAUGAUAUUCUUUCUGAAGUACAUAAUCGUAUGUAUUCUAUUCAUCCGGGCAGUGCAAAAAUGUAUGGUGAUCUGAAAAAGACAUAUUGGUGGCCUGGUAUGAAAAGAGAAAUUUCAGAAUUUAUUGCAAAAUGUUUGAUUUGCCAGCAAGUUAAAGCAGAGCAUCAAGUGCCAACGGGUUUAUUACAACCCAUUAUGAUUCCUGAAUGGAAGUGGGAGCAUGUUACAAUGGAUUUUGUGUCACGAUUGCCUAUGACUCCAAGAAAGAAAGAUUCGAUAUGGGUGAUUGUUGAUAGAUUGACAAAGUCAGCACACUUUUUUCCAGUCAGAACAGAUUUUCACUUAAGAAGUUAGCAGAAUUGUAUGUCUCAGAGAUUGUGAGACUACAUGGAGUUCCAGUAUCUAUCAUUUCAGACUGGGAUCUGAGGUUUACUUUAAGAUUUUGGAAUAAAUUGUAAGAAGCUUUAGGUACCAGAUUGAAUUUUAGUACAACAUUUCAUCAUCAAACAGAUGGACAAUCAGAGCGAGUGAUUCAAAAUUUAGAAGAUAUAUUAAGAUGUUGUAUACUCGAGUUUGCUGACAGUUAGAAAAGGUAUUUACCUUUGACUGAGUUUGUUUACAACAAUAGCUAUCAGUCUAGUAUAAAAAAGGUACCAUUUGAGGCUCUUUAUGGUAGGAAAUGCAAGACUCCAUUGUGUUGUUCUGCAUUGAGUGAAUAAAAAAUAGUUGGGAUUGAUUUGAUUCGGGAAACCAAAGAGAAAGUCUAGAUUAUUCGAGAUAGUCUAAAAGCUGCUUCACUAUCAGAAGUCAUAUACGGAUUUUAAAUGAAUAGACAUAGAAUAUGCAGUGGGUGAUCGAAUAUUUUUAAAAGUUUCACCGUGGAAGAAGAUGUUACGGUUUGGUAGAAAAGGAAAAUUAAUUUCGAGAUUCAUAAGGCCAUAUGAAAUUGUUGAAAGGGUUGGUACUGUAGCUUAUCGGUUGGCUUUACCUCUGGAACUUGAGAAGAUUCACAAUGUGUUUCAUGUGUCUAUGCUAAGACGUUAUAGGUCAGAUCCUUCACACGUAAUUUCUCAUACUAAAAUUGAGCUUCAACCAGAUAUGACUUAUUCAGAACCAGUGAAGAUUUUGGCUCGUGAAGUUAAAGAAUUGUGGAACAAAAGAAUACCAUUGGUUAAAAUUUUAUGGCAUCGACAUGGUAUGGAGGAGGCAACUUGGGAAACAGAGGAGUCAAUGAGAUCACAGUAUCCAAAUCUAUUUUCAUGUAACAAAUUUUGAGGACGAAAUUUUUAAAGGAGGGGAGAGUUGUAACGGCCUAAUUUUUAGUGGUGUCAGAAAUGGUGAUUUGAGAUCACUAAAUCCGACAAGUAAGAUUGAUCAAGAUAGUAAUUUAAUAUUUAUGAGUCAAGUAAGAAUUUAGAAGAAUUUGUGAAUUGGUGAAUUUGGUGAAUUAAAAGAAUUUAUUAGGUCCAACGGUAAAAAAACGAGGUAUCGAGACCUCAAAUUUGAAAAUCAAGCCAUAAAUAUUUUUAUAAAUAUUUACAAAGUGUCAUUUAGUUAGUAUUAAAGUUUGGUUGAGAAAUUUUAACGUUUGCGUAGUCAAUUAAAUAAAAAGGACUAAAUUGUAACAAAUGCAAAAUUUGCUAGAAUGAUUAAAUAGCUCAAGUGUUAAAAGAAAUAGGAUUUAAAGGGAAGUUAAUCCUGAAAAUAAAUAGGCUGGACGGCAAGGGCAAGAAAAUCAGCAGAAAGAUAAGGAAAAUAAGGGCAAAAUUGGAAAUUUUACAAAUUUAACAUAUAAAAUAAGGACAAAUUUGAAAAAUCUAGAGAUCUCUUCAUAUUUUUUCAGCCAAAACGCCAUAGGAGGUCUGGAGAAAGCUUAUUUUUCAUAUUUUUACGUCAUGUGAGUUUAAUUCUUUCUUUUUCUUGAUAAUUUUUAUGUUUUUAUGACUUUUACAAUUAGGUCCACUUAUAGAAUUCAUUAGUUUUUGUUUUGGUGGGUGAAAUUGGAAGUUACCCUGGCUGAUUAAGGGAAUUUUAUGAUGAAUUAUUAUGAAAUUUAAGUUCUAAUUUCAUAUUAAGGUGGUUUUAUUAAGUGAUUUUGAUAGAAAAUGGUAUUUAAGACCUAAUUGUGAAAAAGUUGUGAAUUAGAGGUUGGUGUUGAAAUCCAGAAUAUCAAAGGUUGUGAAAUAGUUUAUAAUGAUAAAAUAAAGUGUUAAUUGAGAAAAAUAGUUCAAUUGAUGGGUGAAUUAAGCAUGGACUAAAUUGUAAAAACUAUAAAUUUUAGGGUAAAAGUGCAAUUUUGAAAAUUGAAGAGCAUAAAUUGUGAAGUGAAAUAGAAAGGAAAUAAAUGCUAAUGAGUGAAAAUAUUUUACAUUAUAGAUCAAAAAUCCAAAGAAGAACGAGGUAAAGAAAAAGUUGCGGAAUAGUCCUAAAUUUCAAUAUCUUCUACAAAUCAGCUGGGUAAGUUUAUAUGGAUAAAUUUACAUAUUUAUUUGUGAAUUACUGAAUGAUAUAAUGUGUUAUUAAAUAUGAAUUUGCUGUGGGAUUGUGAAAAUUAUGUUAAAAUGAAAGAAUAAAGGUGGAAAUUCAAAUUAGGAAAAACGCAAGAUUAAGUGCGUUCGUAUCGUGACAUGUGAUGAAUUGACGGAUAAGACCAUGGUUGAUCCAUGGCGGAGUUGUGAAACGUAUGUAUGGUAUCAUCCAUACUGAGUUGUGAAACGUAGGUAUGGUAUUAACCAUACUGAGUUGUGAAAUGUAGGUAUGGUAUUAUCCAUACUGAGUUAAGAAACGUAAGUAUGGCAUUUUCCAUACCUAGUUGUAAAAUGUAGGUAUGGUAUUUUAAUGAGGAAAACCAUACUGAGUUGUGAAUCGUGGCACUGAGGAACGACGUACUCAAUUUUGUAAGCCGUUUCCUAAUUUGAUAAUAAGUAAUACAAGAAGAGUGAACCAAAUGAAAGAGAUUGUGUAGUUGUAAAUGUUGAGCUUAACUAUAUGAAGUAUUAGAACAGUGGUUGUGAAUGGCGGGGAACUUUGGUAAAUGUUUUAUUAUUGUUUGGAAAUAUUAUGUUUGGUAAGCAUUACUUUUAAACCUAUGAACUUACUAAGCUUCAAUAAGCUUACUUGUGUGUGUUUCAUAUUUUUAUGUAGAUUAAAUUGAAGUGAAGUUGGUAGAUCGGAUCAACACAACAAAGCACACUAUCUAGAUCAAUUCCAGUAGCUUUUGUUUUAUGUUCAAAGAUUUAUAUGGCAUGUAUAGAGUUUAAAUGAAAUGAAGUAAAGAUGUUAUAAACCAGUUAACAAUAUUUUGUACUAAAACAAUUUUUGGUUAGUAGCAGUAGUUCGACUUUGAAAAUUCACCAUAAAUUAUAGAAAAUGAAUUAGAGGUUGAAUAAGAUAUGAAAUUAAAUCUUAUUGAAUCUAGUUUCACAUAGAAGAAACAUUAUAAGAAAAAGACUUUCAUAUUAGAAGAUACUUGAAUUUUUUUGUGACAAGGUUAGAGUGAUUUCGAGCUCCCCUAUUCUGACUUUGGAAAAUCAUUAAAAAUUGUAAAAGAAUAAUUAUGGGUUAUAAUUCAUAUGAUUAAAAUCCUUAAUGAGUUUAUUUUUAAAAGAAAUAAAUAGGAACAUCAUAUGAAUCCUGUAUGAGGAGAUAAUUAAUUUUUAGUGAAGUGGGGUCAGAACUAUCAGACUGUGAAAUAGGGGAGACUUUAAAUAAUAAACUGUACUUAUUGGCUAGACCAAAAAAAUUCUGAAAAUUUUAUGGUAGGAAGAUAUGUGAGUCUAGUUUCAGGAAAAAUUAGUGAAUCUUAAUUUGGAGUUCCCUAGCUCAGGAUAUUAAUAAUUUAGUGACUAUGACUCAAGUGGAAAACUUUGAUGUGAAUAUAAGUAAAUAAUGGAAUUUUUGUGUAAUUAUUUCGUAAACUUCGGUAACAUCUUGUAACCCUAUUCCGGUGAUGGAUGUGGGUUAGGGAUGUUACACUAAGUCAUUCCACUAAAGUAUCAUGACUGAGCUCUCCCUUAUUAUAUACCAUUACGAAAGUUACUUAAUAAGUGCUCGUCCAAUGUAACGCCCCUCACCCAGUCUGGAUGUCGGACCCAAGUUACUGGAUGUUACAGCAAACAUCGGAAUAUUCACACAUAAAUUUUAACAUUGAAUUCAAUUAAAAUCAUCAAAUUAUUCCAAAUUUAUACAUAAUAGAAGUUGUUAGUAAAACAAGGGCUAAAUCGAGCAUACAAACAUAGUUUAAUUGAUUCGGGCAUGAUUGAGGACUUAUCUAAAAAAUUUUAAAACUUUGGAACUAGGUAUCGGUACCAAAGGAAUAAAUAUUGAUACUUUUAUGGUAGAUAUUUUUACUAUAAUCGGCAUCAAUAUGAUUUACUCAUUCUUUCAUUUUCAAAACACUAUUUAUUUGGUCAAGUAUUGAUACAUUGAUCCCUACUAUCGAUACUUCUACCCAAAUGGAAAAAAACAUAAGUUUUAUGUACCAAUCAUGCUCAAAACUAUAUCCCAAAUUUAAGGAUGCUUAUAAGCUUAUCAUAAGACCUAUAAGUAACCAAUUUCAACAUGCUAUAUACCACAUUCAUUCAUUUUCAAACCACAAAUUCAACCAUUUCAUGUUAGCAUUCAACUUAACACCUAAUCAUGUACAAUCACAACUAUAGUUCUUUUAGUUCACCAUCUCCUUUCAUCACAAUUUCAUGCCGUUAAUACUCAAAUCUCCAUUGAAAUAUCAUUCAAAUUAUCUCAUUUGACAUUCAAACAUGACACCAUGCUACAUGCAUUUCAUAACAAACUUUAUAUGCACUUAAGUAUCAUUCAUCUCUCAAACAACUUAACCAUUAUGCAUCAUUAUUCACUAUGUUAAAAUUAUCAAAAAAUGAUUGCUCACCAUGACAAUCUCAUCACAAUGGCUCAAUCAUUCACAUUCAAACAUAUUCAUUCAUACCAAUACUAAAUACAUAUCAUAUACACAUUCAUGAUAAGCAUUUAUAUAUAUAUGGAUCAUUUCACUAUCAUCCAAAAAUAAACUCUUAUUCACAUUAAAACCUAGACGCAUUAUAAGCUCCAUAUACAUGUCAAAACGUCAUAAAUCACCAUUUCAAUAAUCUAAUCCAACAUUUCCACAAUUUGGCAUUUUCCAAUAAGCUAACCAAUAUGCUUCAAUAGGCACUAGAAUAUACCAAAGUCACUUAUUCAAGCUUAGUCUAUACUUUCAUACUUUCAUACUAUCAAACCAUUCCACAUCAACAUAUACCAUAAUUCAAACAUUAUCCAAGUAUAAACCAAACUAGGCAACCAAGAUAAACAUAUAUAGUAACACCUAUAUACAUGCCACAAAACCAAGCUUUAAACGAUAGAAAGACUAUCAAAUUAAUACCAGGAUAGUGCAAACUUCUUGACGAUCUGUUUGACAUGUUCCGCAAGUUGGCAAUUUAUAGGGAAAAGGAAACAGGGGGUAAGUAUUACAAAUGCUUAGUAAGUUCAUAAUUAUUAAAACAACAACUUACCUCAUUUUAUGAAUUUAUAUAAUUUAUUCAACUUGACAAUUUUUUCCUAAACCCGACAACCCUAUAUCAACAAGGUGAGUUUAUCCCAUAACCAAUUCAUAUAAUAAUAUGAACAUUUAGCAUUUCAAUUAAUUUUUAUACCAAUCGCAUGGAAUCAAUAACUUAAUACCAUUCAUAACAUUCCAAUCAACAUUUCAAUUUACAAAUACAACUAAAAGUCUCAAUGGUAUAUCAACGUAUACAAGCUUCAAUUGAUCAAUCUAAAGAUUUUAUCGUAUCAUUUAAUUUUGUUGUCAACAAUACAUCCAACUUCAUUAUAAUGGAAACCAUUAUUCCGUUUUAUUGUUUAAAUUUUGCAUCAAAUUCAUUGAUUUAUCACAUUUCCAUAUUGGCCGUUUGGCUCGUAUAUCCGAUAUGUAUGAGCAUUCAAUGCUAUUGAUAUUCAUAUAUAUCACUAAUCAAAUUUGUAACAGCAUAUCACAAUUAUCAAUCAAAUUUUUAUUUCACAAAUCAAAUAUCAUAUUUCUAUACCUUUAUUAACCUGACUUGGACUCGAAUGGAUACACGGAUCCAACCAAUUACACCAAUUUGGCACCUAAUGCCUAUCAGAUAAAUUCAAAAAUAAUAAGUUGCGCCUUGCAUUGAUCAGUAAAAUCGGGAAAUAGAUGUGCCCAACACUGGUUGGUAAAACCGAAACAUGUGGUGCCCAAUAUUCCCUAACACAUAGUCGUAUAACCCUAAAUUCUUCCUAUCCUAUGGCAUGGCAACUAUAUCCGACUCUACCUGAACAAUUAAUAGAGUACAAUUUCUCAAUUUCAUUUAGAAGCCAAUUUCUCAAUUCCAUAUAAUAAUUUCAUCAAACAAUCAUCAAUUCACACAAGUGACAAUAUAGUUCAUCUUUAUUCCAAGUCAAUUUUAUAAUCCCAGCCUUACUAUUUUAAAUUUAAUUCAAUUUAAUCCUCUAUCUCGAUAAUUAAUCAAUUUCAUACUACUAGGAUUCAAAUCAUUAUAAACAACUAUAAAUUCAUUUUAUAUCUCAGAAUUCAAUUCAACAUAUUAAAUUUUUAUCCUUCAAAUUAUCAUUCCUUUAUAAAUCAAUCCAUAACUCACCUUUUGUACCAAAUUGUGAACCAUUCAAUUUUAACGUCAAACAAACAAAAAUUCAGAAUCAAAUGUAAAAUAAUUUAAACACAAUCAUACGAUGUGAACUUACUUGGUUAAAUUAUCAAACAAGAACUUUCUAAGGACUAAUCUACAAUUUUUGCCAUUUCCCCGAUUAUCUUCAAUUUGUCCAAUUUUCGGCCUAUUCAAUAAUAUUCAAUUCAAUUCUAUUAUAAGUAUAUAUUAGUUUAAUUUUAUUAUUCGAGUGGCCCCUAAAAUUUUGUAUUUUAUUCAAUUUAGUCCCUAAAAUCGAACUUAUUAUAACUUCCGAAUUUGAACUCAAAUUUUAAAUCCACUCCAAUUAUGUCCAUAUAUAGCCUCCUAUUAUCAUAAUUUACAAAAAUUUUAUACCAAUUUCAAGAUAUUCACAAUUUAAUCCCUAAACUAAAAAAUAACAAAAUUUGCUUAACAAAUUAAUCCUAUUUCAUUUCUAAGCUUCAAAAUCUACCAUAAACAUUCAAAAAAUUCAAUUAAAAUCUAUGAAAAUUUAUAAAUAUUUAACAAUUUUGAACAAGAAAAUAUGAGUUAGCUGGACCUAAUUGCAACAAUCUCAAAAAUAUAAAAAUUACGAAAAAUAAACCUCAAUUAAAACUCCAUGCAAUCAAAACAAUUUGGCUGAACCUUGAAGCUCCUUCAAUGGUAAUUUUUGGUUUUUAAUAUUCGGUGGUGGUGAGCAAAAAUGAUAAUAGUUGCUUUUUUUAUGUUUUUAACAUUUAUUAUAUUAUUUUAACUUAAUUUAAUUAUAUUUUCAAUUAUAAAAUUUCAAAUAAAUAAUAAUCGACCACUAACUAUAAAUAGGGUAAUUUGAAGCUUAAAACCCUUAACAUUAAUUAAUUUAGCCUUUUAACUAAUAAAAACCAAUAUCGAUUAACUUUUACUAUUUUUACGAUUUAGUCAUUUUUCCUUAAUUAACCAUCCAAUCACUAAAAUUUUUGGACCAAACUUCAAUUCACCUAUACAACAGCUCUGUAUAUUUAAUAAAAAUAUUCACAAGCUCGAUUUACAGAAAUAAAGUUCCAAAUUCUCAUUUUCUAAAACCAUUUAACUUUUGGUACGCACCACUUGUAUCUUGACUAACUGACCAAAUUACUAAAAUCUAUUAAAUCACGGUUCACUAUUAUACUAUAUUUAACUCAUAAAUAUUAAUUAAAUAUAUCUACGGACUCACUUAUUUAAAUUUGUGGUCCUGAAACUACUAUUUUCGACACCACUGAAAAACGGGUUGUUACAUCUAAUUUUUUUUUCAUAAGUGUGUUACCCUUAUAGGAUAUCCUUAACUUUUUUGGCAUAAAUCUAUUCUCUUAAUAUGAUUUUAUUUUAUCUCAUGGUAACCAUUACAUAUUCCUUCAUGAAAAGUUAAUUACUGUCAAAUAGUAAUUAAAUCAUUUAUCAUAAAAACAAAUUACCCAUGACCAUGUUUACUUUUCAUCUAUUAUGUAAUAUUGAUGAGAGGAUAUUAUUUACCCUUUAAUUGGGCUAUGAAUUCCACUAUUGUGAAAUGAUGCUACAUACUAUAGAAGUUGUACACCCAAUGCACCAACUUUCAAUUCCUUAUCUAUUUGAACUUAGGCUUUUAUUUACAUUAAAGUAUAUGAGUCAUGCAUACAUAAUCUAUCACCCCCCUAGGAUUAAGCUCUGCUACACUAUGAACAUUACAAAUGAAUAAAUUCAUAAAUAGAUCUAGGAUCUUUUUUAUUUAAGUCCUGUCCAAUGUGCUAUCAUUCUAGUUACUCACAUCUAUCUUUUUAGAGUCAUCCAAUCCAAUACCCAGACAAUUUAUCUUCCUAAUUGGACUAGAUAAACAAUAUAUUAGUCUUGCAAUUGGUUUGCUCAAUUCUAAUUAGACUAAGGACACAUUUAGAUAAUCUACUAGUAUAAGUUGUUUUUCUAUAUUACGAUCCAACCAUGUAAUACUAUUUAGUUUUGGUUAAAUGUUAAAUAGUCAGUGAGCCAAUAUUUCUUUCAUUUUACUUUGCAUGCAAAAAACAUUUAGGAUAAUAUACAAAGGAUAUUUGAUGUCCACUAAACUAGCUAAUAAAUUGACUUAGGCAAAUGCACCUAUCAAUUAAUAAUAUAAUUAUUACGAGCACAUAAAUGUUCCUUCGAAGACUACAAUUACUAGUAAUUAUUUUCUUCUAAUAAUUCAAAAGAUUGAUAAAGAAUAAAAUUAACUAACUAAAUUAACUAACGAAUGCGUGAAAGAAAUAAAACACAAAAACAAUCAAAUAUCAACCAAGUGACAAAACAAUACCUAGGUAAAGAAUUCACCUAGAUUUCAUCUAUGGUUCUCAAUCUAAUUUAUGCAAUUUCUUUCCUUAGUUCUUUGACUUGUAGAAAUCCCUAAUUUAUGCUAAUAUCUCUUUUUAGCAUAAGAGAAAUUAACUCCAGAUUGAUUAAUUGAAAUUUCUUUCUAAUUAAAACCCUAUUAUUGCAUUAAUUCAUUCUAUUGAUCCCCCUAUUAGAUUUGACUCUAAUUUAAUUGAUUUAUGUCAUUCUAUUUCUAAGAUUGCAUGCACUCCAUUCAAUUAUGCAAAAUCUAUUCAUAAGAAGGGUUUAUUCAACCUCAAACUCAGGCACAUCAAACAUGGAUUAAUACUUUAGAAAUAUUAACCUAAGAAAACUUAAGAAUUCAUAAUUGAAAACAGAGAAACUAAGGUUUUAUUGCAUAAAAAUAAAAUUCAAACAAUAUAAUCCAUCCUAGGGUUCAUCUCCCUAGGUAUUUAGAAAAUUAGUUCAUAAUUCCGAGAAGAAACACCAAAAAUACAAUAUAAUCACUAAAAUUAAAAAAAAACUAUGGUAACUCCAUUCGAAAUCAACUUGGACUUUGAAUCUUGAUGGAGAGCUAUUUGGAAAAUCCACUUCAAUGGUGUUCUUUGGAUAAUUUUUGUGCUAUUGUAACAGUUCGGUUUAGACCCUAGUUGAAAUAGUGGUUUCGGGACCACAAAUCUAAGUCAAAAAAAUAUUUUUAUAUUAUUUUUCGUGCUUAAAAUAUGUGAAUUAGAAUGUGUGAAAAUUUUGCAUGAAAAAUUAAUCGUUUGUGUGCUUAAUUUGAUAAAAAGGACUUAAUCGUGUAAAAUGUAAAAGUUGCCUGCUGAUUGUUAAAGUGGCUAUUUGCUAUGUCUUUUUAAAUGAGAGGUCCUCAUGUUAAUAUUUGACCAUUGAAAGUUUGAAUGGACAUAUAUGACAAAGGUUAGUGGAAUUUAAAUGUGUAUAAUAAGGCUAAAUAAGUAAACUUUGCCAUUAAUGUUAAUUUAAUUAAAACAAAAGCAUGAAAUUAAGUUAUUAUCAUCAUCUUAGCAAAAUUCAUCAAAGAAAAGAAUGAAUAAGAGCUCUUGGGGUUUUAGCACUUUGAUUGGUGAUUGAGGUAUGAUUUUUGGUCAGUUUUUGAUAAUUUUUACGUUUUUGUGAUCGUUGCUUAGUGUUCUAUCGAGCCCAUGCAAAAAUUUCUGAUUUUUUUGAUGAUUUUGAAAUAUGACAUUGAUGAAAUUAUAAGCUUUGUGAAGUUAGUUAUUGGUAAAUGAAAGAUAUGUUUUGGGCUAACAUGUUUAGUCUUUGAAUUUUUGAUGAAAUUGAGUAAUUUGGGCUAAAUUGUAAAAAUGAGAUUUUGAGGGACUAAAAUGUGAAGGCUUAUAUGAAUACUAUGAAAAUUCGGCUAGGCAUGUGUGCAAAGAAAUUUUGUGUGUUUUGUGAUUUUGCGAAUUAAGGACUAAAUUGUCAAGAUAUGAAAAUGUGAGGCUAAGUUGUAAAAUGCCCUAAAUAUGUAUUUUUGGAAUGAUUUGAAUGAAUGUGAGUUUGAAUAAUUUAAAUUUGAAUUUAUAUAGAUCAAGAACUAAAGAAAACAGAAUUAGAUCGGGGAAAGUCGAAAGUCAUCAAGUAGCCGAUUCUGUCUAUCCGAAUCCUUACGAGGUAAGUCUAUAUACAAAUAAAUGUGUUAUGAAUUGAAUUUCUAUUGAUUAUAUGCUAUUGGGCUAUGAUGAAUGAAUAUAUGAGUUGAGAAAAAUGAGACAUCCGAGAAAUCAUCGACAAAGUUCUGACUUCCGAAAAGCCCCGUACGAACCUUAGAAAUAGUUAGGAUACAUAUGUCAUGACAUAGGAUUUCGAGAUGUUUUUUCAUGUAAGACCAUGUCUGGGACGUUGACAUCGACUUAUGAUUUACGUGUAAGACCACGUUUGGGACGUUAGCAUCGUAUUUGAUUUCGUGUAAGACCCUGUCUGGCACAGUGGCAUUGAUAUUUGAUUACAUGUAAGACCACGUCUGGGAUGUUGGCACUGUACGAGCUUUCUGAGCUAUCCGCAUAUCCUUAUGAUUUCGAACGGUUCAACGGGCAUUCCGAGAAAAUGAAUUAUUAUGUGAACAUGUAUUUGAUUCAGGUAUGUUUGAAAUGUGUAUCAUAUUUGAUGUUGAAAGGUAAGUAUAUGUACUUUAGUGAACAAAUGUUGAUAUGUGAUAAAAUCAUGAGAAAAUAUGUUAUAUGUGAUAAAGAAUUUGAAAUAUGUGAAAUUUAUAUGAACAUUGAGGUUUGAGAUAGUAUUUGGCCAUGGAGUAUAUGCAAUUUUAUGACGCUUUCAUGCUUUGAAUGUUAAGUUUAUUUGUAUAUGACUUACUAAGCUUUUGAAAGCUUACUUUGUGUGUGUUUGCAUUGUUUUCUAGAUAACGGAGCUACUGGGAGCUCGAGGACCAUCGAGGAUUUUCACCACACUAUCGAGUCUAUUUUUGGCACCUUUUGAAAGUGUAAAUAUUGGAAUACGGCAUGUAUAGGAUAGAAGUAAUUUGAUUAUGUUUUGUGAUGUUUAUAUCUAGCCAUGUGAUUUGGCUUGAUUAUAGUUAUGUAUAUGAAUGAGUUCUUGGUAUGAAAUAUGUGAUGCAAUAUGAUCAAUAUGAUGUGUUUUGAAUGACCAAAUGAAAUGGUCAAUUUUGGUAAGUUUUGGUAUGUGCAUAUUUGAGAAAUUGGUAAGUUUAUAACAUGUGAUUGAAUGAAGUAAAAUGAGGUUAUGAAAUAAAUGUUUUGAUAUGAUUUUGUCUUAUGAUUUGGCAUAAUUUGGUAUGGCUAUUAAGCAUGAAAUUGGUUGAUAAUGUAAUGGUAUGAAUGGUGUAUGAUUUGGUUGAGAAUUUGGUUUAAAAUGUUGCUGUUUUGAUGCUUGUAGGGAGGACCCUUAAUGGGUGGCAUAUUGGCCUUGUAAAUGGCCUAUUUUUGCCCACACGGGCAGAGACACGGGCUUGUGUCUCAGCCGUAUUACUCAAGGGCCAUUUCAAAAUGAGCCUGAGCAGACCACACGGUCGCACACACGGGCGUGUACCGUGUGGCCAAGUCAGUUUUGAAAAGGGCUAGACACACAGGCGUGUGACUGGUCAUGUGACCCAACUCAGUAGCCUUCUUAAUUUUCACAUGGCCUGGCACACGGGUGUGUCUUGUAGCCAUGUAGACAAGUCAAUAUGUAUGCCCUGUUUUGACACGGCCUAGACACACGAGUGUGUCUAAAGUCGUAUGAGGCACACGGCUUGUUCACACGGGUGUGUGACCUAUACAACUUUGAAAAAUGUUUAAGUUAUCAGAAAAAAUUGUAUGAGCUCGGUUUAGUCCCGACCUCUUUUUAAUGCAUGUUUUAGGUCUUGAUGACCUAUAUAAAGGACUCUAUUGUGAUGUAUAACUAUGAAUUUGAAUGAAGUUUAUGAAUUGUUCGUAAAAAUUUUCGAUUAGUCUGGUAACGCCUUUAGCCCUAGUCCAGUGGCAGAUACGGGUUAGGGGUGUUACAUUUGGUUGGUAUCAAAGCUACGGUUUAGUCGACUCUUGGACUAAUGUAGCGUAUGUGAGUCUAGCUAUACAUGCCAUAUUUGUGAACUACGAUAGUGUGAUGAAUCCUGAUAGUGAAAAUAUUUUUUUAUAUAGUAAAUGGAUUUCAAACGAGCCGUAGCUGAUGAUGUCGAGAGCAAUGCGCCUACUCCCAUGCAAGGGACAAUGCCAUCCGAUUCUAGACCGGCUACGAGUAGCCAUGAUGGAGAGGCUAGACAAGCCUUCUAUCAAAUGAUGAAUAAUCGGUUCACCCAAUGCAUUAAAACUAAUCCGGUUGUUCAACAAUCCCUAACCCCUACUAAUCCUCCGUAAGUUUCUGCUAUGUCACAAGCUAAUUUGAAUCAGUUGAUUAAGCCUCCGGUUGAUAAGAUUAAAAAAUAUGGAGCCGAAGAAUUCGUGCUACUACGAAUGAUGAUGUUGAAAGAGCCUAGUUCUGUUUAGAGAAUACGAUACGAGUAUUUGUUGAAUUGUCAUUGAAUCCCGAAGAAUGCAUAAAAUGUACCGUUUUACUUCUGAGAGAUACGACGUAUCACUGGUGGAAGAAUUUGAUAUCAGUGGUUCUGAGAGAGCCUAUCACUUGGGAUUUCUUUCAAGCUGAAUUUCGCAAGAAAUACAUCAGUUAGAGAUUUAUCGACCAGAAACAUAAAGAGUUUCUUGAGCUUAAACAAGGCCAUAUGUCUGUUAUAGAAUACGUGAGAGAAUUUGUAAGAUUGAGUCAAUAUGCUAGAGAAUGUGUUUCGACUAAAGCUAUAAUGUGCAAGAGAUUCGAGGAUGGCUUGAACGAGGAUAUCCAUUUGUUAGUUGGGAUUCUUGAGAUCAAAGAAUUCGUUGUGCUUGCUGAACGAGCAUGUAAAGCUGAAGAACUCGGAAAAGAGAAAAGAAAAGCUGAUUCAGAAGCUAGAGAAGUGCAAAAUAGAUCAUCGUGCAAGCCAUUUCAAUCUAUAGCAAAGAAGUUUCGAGAUGAUUAUAGUCGUUCAAAGGCUAAUGUGGGACAUGCGAGUAGAGAUCGUAUGAGAUCGCAUUUGAGUUUCAGAGCUCCAGCUACAUCUGUUGCCAGUGUUGGAAAUGUUCGAUCUGAUCGCCCUGAAUGCAAACACUGUGGUAAAAGACAACCCAACAAUUGUAAAAUCUAUGAUUGGUCUUGUUUCAAAUUUGGAUCAUUAGACCAUUUUAUCCGUGAUUGCCCCGAAUCUGUCGAGGAAGAAAUUGUACAAAAUCUGAGUCCAAGUGGCAAUGCAUCUCAUGGUAGAGCUCCCAGAAAUACAGGAAAUGUGAGUGGUAGUCAAAGGGGAACUAAAAACACUAUUGUUUAAUCUGAGGUUCGCGCACCUGCAAAAGCCUAUGCCAUUCGAGCUCGUGAGGAAGCUUCAUCUCCAAAUGCUAUAAUGGGUACUUUCACACUUUAUGAUACUUAUGUGAUUGCUUUGAUAGAUCCAGGAUCAACACAUUCGUAUAUAUGUAUAAAUUUAGUGAAUAGUAAGACUUUGUCUGUAGAGUCUACUGAAUUUGUAAUUAAAGUAUCAAACCCCUAGGCAGAUGUGUUUUGGUUGAUAAAGUCUGCAAGAAUUGUCCGUUAAUGUUUUGAGACAUUUAUUUUCUGGCCGAUCUGAUGUUAUUAACUUUUGAUGAGUUUGAUAUAAUUCUGGGUAUGGAUUAGUUAACUUUGCAUGAUGCUGUUGUGAAUGGAAAACAGAAAACUAUUGAUUUGGGAUGCAAGAAUGAUAAAAAGUUCGAAUUGAAUAGAGUGAUUUGAAUGGAUUGCCUGCUGUAAUAUCUUCAAUGAAAGCUUUGAGUAUUGUGAGAAAAGGUUGUGAAGCUUACUUUGCCUAUGUGAUUGAUUCGAAAGUGUCAGAAAAGAGAGUUGAAUCAAUGCCUGUUGUCUGUGAAUUCCCUGAUGUGUUUCUUGAAGAAAUUUCAGGUUUACCUUCGAUACGACAAGUUGAAUUUGGCAUUGAAUUAGUACCAGGAACUACUUCAAUUUUGAUAACUCCGUAUAGAAUGGCUUCGACCGAACUAAAAGAAUUAAAGUCUCAGUUGCAAGAGUUGACCGAUAGAGGAUUUGAGAAUUAAAGAACUAAAAGAAUUAAAGUCUCGCCUUGGGGUGGACCAGUUCUAUUUGUGAAAAAGAAAGACGGUACGAUGAGAAUGUGCAUUGAUUAUCGUCAAAACAAAGUGACUAUCAAGAAUAAAUACCCUCUGCCUAGAAUUGAUGAUUUGUUUGAUCAAUUAAAAGGAGCUACUGUGUUUCCGAAGAUAGAUUUGAGAUCAAGCUAUUAUCAGUUGUGAGUGAAAGACUUAGACGUUCCAAAAACUACUUUUAGAACGAGGUACGACCACUAUGAGUUCUUAGUUAUGCCUUUUGGAUUAACUAAUGCACCUGCUAUCUUUAUGGAUUUGAUGAACAGAAUUUUCAGACCGUAUUUAGAUCGAUUUGUUGUCGUAUUCAUUCAUGACAUAUUGAUUUAUUUGUGUGAUGAAUCCGAGCAUUCCGAGCAUCUGAGAAUAGUGCUACAGACUUUGCAAGAUAAGCAACUAUAUGCAAAGUUUAGAAAAUGUGAAUUCUGGUUACAAGAAGUCGAUUUUCUGGGCAAUAUUGUAUCAGCAUCUGGUAUUCGAGUUGAUCCAAGCAAAGUUUCGGCUAUUAUGGAUUGGAAGCCUCCGAGAAAUGUCUCUGAAGUCUACAGUUUUCUAGGACUUGCUAAUUAUUAUAGAUGGUUCGUAAAAGGCUUUUUGAUAUCGUGAUUCCAUUGACGAAAUUGCUUCAGAAAGAUGUGAAGUUUGAAUGGUCUGAAAAGUGUCAAAAAAGGUUUGAUCAGUUGAAAGCCCUAUUGACUGAAGCUCCAGUGUUAGUACAACCAGAAUCGGGUAAAGAAUUUGUGAUCUACAGUGAUGCUUCGUUGAACAGUCUGGGAUGUGUUUUGAUGUAGGAAGGUAAAGUCAUAGCUUAUGCCUCGAGACAAUUGAAGUUGCAUGAAAAUAACUAUCUGACGCACGAUCUAGAAUUAGCUGCGAUUGUGUUUGCUCUGAAGAAUUGGCGCCAUUAUCUGUUUGGUGAAAAAUGUCACAUAUAUUCUGAUCACAAGAGUUUGAAAUAUCUGAUGACUCAGAAAGAUCUGAAUCUGGGACAAAGAAGGUGGUUAGAAUUGCUAAAAGACUAUGAGCUUGUGAUUGAUUAUCAUCCGAGAAAAGCAAAUGUCGUUGCUGAUGCUUUGAGUCGAAAAUCACUAUUUGCUCUGCGUGUGAUGAAUGCUCAUUUUGUUGUGUCCGAUGAUGGUUCGAUUUUAGCCGAAUUAAAAGCAAGACCAUUAUUCAUUCAAUAGAUUAUUGAUGCUCAGAAGAUUGAUAAUGAGAUUUUAGCAAAAACGAGCUCAGUGUGAUUUGAAUUCUGAUUUAGAAUUUCGAAUUGGUAUUGAUGAUGGUUUGAGAUUUAGAGGUCAGAUUUGUAUUCCAAGAAAUUUAGAGUUAAUUCUAAUGAUUUUGAACGAAGCUUAUAGCAGUCGUUUAUCUGUGCAUCCGGGUAGUAUGAAAAUGUAUAAUGAUUUGAAACAGCAUUACUGGUGGUCUGGAAGGAAGAGAGAUAUCUCUGACUUUGUUUCGAAAUGUUUAAUUUGUAAGCAAGUCAAAGCUGAACAUCAGGUGCCCUCUAGUUUGUUACAAUCGAUUAUGAUUCCUAAGUGGAAAUGGGAUAGAGUGACGAUGGAUUUUGUUUCGAGUUUACCCUUAUCUCCAUGCAAGAAAGAUACUAUCUGGGUUGUAGUUGAUCGAUUAACGAAAUCAGCUCAUUUUAUUCUGGUAUGAUCUGAUUACUCGCUUGAUAAAUUAGCUGAAUUAUACAUUUCUGAAAUUGUGAGAUUGCACGGUGUGCCAUUAUCUAUUGUGUCAGAUAGAGAUCCAAGAUUCACUUCGCGAUUGUAGAAGAAAUUGCAAGAUGCUUUAGGUACGAAAUUGCAUUUCAGUACUGCUUUUCACCCUUAGAUGGAUGGUCAAUCCGAGCGGAUUAUCAAGAUUCUUGAGGAUAUGUUGAGAUGUUGCACUCUUGAGUUUGAUGGUACGUGGAAACAAUAUUUUCCAUUGAUUGAAUUCAUAUACAGUAAUAGUUUUCAAUCAAGUAUUAAAAUGGCACCGUACGAAGCCUUAUAUGGUCACAAAUGCUGUACACCUUUGUAUUGUACUGAGCUUAGUGAGAAUAAGAUUCACGGGGUUGACUUGAUAAAAGAGACUGAAUAGAAAGUAAAAGUGAUUUGAGAUAGUCUGAAAGCAGCUUUCGAUCGUCAGAAAUCAUAUGCAGAUUUGAAACGAAAAGACAUUAAAUUUGAGAUCGGUGACAAAUCAUUUUUGAAAGUUUGACUGUGGAAGAAAGUACUUUGAUUUGGCAGACAAGGCAAAUUGAGUCUGAGGUUCAUUAAGCCGUAUGAGAUUAUCGAGCGUAUCGGAUCGGUUGCAUACAGAUUGUUGUUGCCACAAGAGCUAGAAAAGAUUCACAAUGUAUUUCACGCAUCGAUGCUUCAACUAUAUAGAUUCGAUCCUUUACAUGUGAUUUUUCCGUCUGAGAUAGAAAUUCAGUCUGAUAUGACCUACAAUGAAGAACCGAUCCAUAUUUUAGCUCGUGAGAUUAAAGAACUGCGAAAUGAGAAAAUUCCAUUAGUAAAAGUAAUGUGGCAUCAACACGGUGUUGAAGAGGCUACGUGAAAGCCUGAAGAUGUUAUGAGACAACAAUAUCUGAAUCUGUUCAACGAGGGACGAAAAUCCCUAAGGGGGGAGAACUCUAAUUGUCCGAUUGAGACCCUAGUCGGAAAAGUGGUUUCGGGACCAAAAAUCCAAGUUAGAAAAAUAUUUUUAUAUUAUUUUCCAAGCUUAAAAUAUGUGAAUUAGAAUGUGUGAACAUUUCUUAUGAAAAUUUAAUCGUUUGUAUGCUUAAUUUGAUAAAAGGACAUAAUCGCGUAAAAUGUAAAUGUUCCCUGCUGAUUGUUAAAGUGCCUAUUUGCUAUUUCUUUUUAAAUAAGAGGUCCUUAUGUUGAUAUUUGACCAUUGAAAGUUUGAAUGGACAUAUAUGCCAAAGGUUAGUGGAAUUUAAAUGUGUAUAAUAAGGCUAAAUAAGUAAAUUUUGCCAUUAAUGUUAAUUUAAUUAAAACAAAAGCAUGAAAUUAAGUUAUUAUCAUCAUCUUAGCUAAAUUCAUCAAAGAAAAAGAAUGAAUAAGAGCUCUUAGGGUUUUGGCACUUUGAUUGGCGAUUGAAGUAUGAUUUUUGAUCAGUUUUUGACAAUUUCUACGUUUUUGUGAUCAUUGCUUAGUGUUCUAUCGAGCCCAUGCCAAAAUUUCUGAUUUUGUUGAUGAUUUUGAAAUAUUCCAUUGAUGAAAUUAUAAGCUUUGUGAAGUUAGUUGCUGGUAAAUGAAAGAUAUGUUUUGGGUUAACAUGUUUAGUCUUUGAAUUUUUUAUGAAUUUGAGUAAAUUGGGCUAAAUUAUAAAAAUGAGAUUUUGAGGGACUAAAAUGUGAAAUAAAUGAAACAUAUGGGCUUAUAUGAAUACUAUGAAAAUUUGGCUAGGCAUGUGUGCAAAGGAAUUUUGUGUAUUUUGUGAUUUUGUGAAUUAAGGACUAAAUUGUCAAAAAUGAAAAUGUGAGGGCUAAUUUGUAAAAUACCCUAAAUAUGUAUUUUUGGAUUGGUUUGAAUGAAUGUGAGUUUGAAUAAUUUAAAUUUGAAUUUAUAUAGAUCAAGAACUAAAGAAAACAUAAUUAGAUUGGGUCACCAUUCUCUCUAAUCAGGUAGAACUGUUAAAUAAAAAAAUUGAUGGUUUUCUUAGUUCUUUACAGGUUCACCUAGUAAUGCAGUGCGAAGCAAGUGGAGGUGGAUCAAGCAAUUCAGAAUACCAACAUUAUGGCCACAAUAUGGAUAGCGAGCAGUUAAAUUACAUGGGUAAUAAUCCUCGAUCUCAAAACAAUCCAUGUAGUAACACUUACAAUGCAGGUUGGAGGAACCACCCAAAUUUCUCAUGGGGAGGCCAAGGAAAUCAGAGACCACCUCCAGGCUACCAACAACCACCCUACCAAUAGGAAAAGAAGCCGAACCUUGAAGAGAUGCUCUCAAAGAUUAUAUCGGUGUCAGAAACUCUUUUUCAGAAUACCGAGACAGCACUGAAGAAUCAACAAGUAUCGAUCCAAUGGCUCAAAACUCAGAUUGGAUAGCUUGCCAAGUUGAUUUCUGAACGACCACAAGGUAGCUUGCCAAGCAACAUAGAAUCUAACCCAAGGGAGUAACUCAACACGAUUACUAGUCAAGAUGAAGAAGGGUUAGUCACAUCUGUACCAGAACCAAGGCAAGAAACUGAGACAAGGAAAGGUAAAGGUGAGGUAGACCACAAUGAGCAGAAACUGGUAAGUAUAGAAUACAAACCUCGUGUGCCAUACCCUAAUGCUAUAGGGAAAGAUGGCUCAGAUGAAAAAUUUGGUAAAUUCCUUAAAAUCUUAAAAAAAUUACUUAUUAACUUACCGUUUAUUGAAGCUCUAUCGCAGAUGCCAAACGCAAUGAAAUUUUUAAAGGAGCUUUUAGGAAAUAAGCGGAAGUUGGAUGGGAUUCACAUGUGAAGCUAAACACAGUUUGCUCAACUAUUCUACAGAAUAAACUACCCAAAAAAUCAAAAGAUCCAGGGAGUUUUACAAUUCCUUGCUUAAUUGGUAGUUUAGAUGUUAAUAAUGCAUUAGCUAAUUUAGGGGCUAGUAUUAAUGUUAUGCCUUAAAAGAUGUUUAAACAAUUAGGUCUUGGGAAACCCAAACAGACUAGGAUAGGCAUUCAAUUAGCAAAUAAAACUAUAAGGUUUCCUAGGGUAUUAUUGAAGAUGUGCUAGUUAAAAUUGAUAAAUUUAUAUUUCCUAUUGACAUCGUUGUUCUAGACAUAGAGGAGGAUAGCAACACUCCUUUGAUUUUAGGAAGGCCCUUUUUAGCAACUAUUAGAAUGAUUAUUGAUGUUGGCAUAGGUGAGCUCACACUUCGUGUCGGAGAUGAAACAAUCACCCUUCAAGCUCACAAUUCUGGCAACACAUCGAAAAUUGAAGGUGAUUGUCUAAACCAUUCUACUAAAAUUGACAAUAUGGUACAACCUACUUUGCAGGAAAUGAGCUUGAAGGAAGUACAUGAACCAUCUUCUAGCAAUAGUAGAGGACCCAUUCAUGAAGAACGAAGGCUACAAAUCGAGGAGCUGGAUGAAUGCAGACACAUAAAUCGAGAACACACGAUAAACCAAAACUACACCAGAACAAGCUCAAUACCUUUCCAAAUCAACUUAAAGCUGGAGAUAAAGUUUUAUUAGAUGUCACAGAUCCUCACAUUGUCACUGCCAAACCGAAUGAAGAAAUUCCUCUUACGGUACUUAGCAUUUUUCCAUUCGGUACAGUCAAGGUAAGUCAUCCUAAGUUCGGCACUUUUAAGGUAAAUAAUACCCGCCUAAAACCUUAUUUUGAUGAGAUUCACAGUAGGAAUGAAGAGUACAAACUCCUCGAACCACCAUGACCAUUAAAUGGAGAGGUAAGUCAAGCUUAGACAAUAAAUAAGUGCUUCUCAGGAGGCAACUCGAGCACUAACUGUAUUAACUUCUUUAAAUUUUAGUGUUUAACACCUAAUUUACUAACAGAGCUCUUGAAUACAGGUUUCCCACACAGACACGGCCUAGCACACGGGCGUGCCUUAGGCUGUGUGGAAAUAGGGCAAAGAUUUUCCCCAGCACGGGCUACAAUAAAUCACCAUGGCUGUGCGACAUGGCCAUUGGUGAACCUGCCAAAACAACACAGGCAUGCGACACGCCCGUGCCUUGAAACCGUGGCCAAACCUGUCAAAUUAACAUGGGCGUGUGACACGUCCGUGCCAAGCAACCGUGGUCGAACCUGUUAGAUUAACACAGGCGUGGGACUACAUACACGGGCAUGGGAGAAGAGAACAAAGACAGACACAGCCGUGUGCACCCACAAGCCCAAGGACUACGGGUGUGGGCCAAUUGUCAGACGUGCUCAAAUUUAAAAUUUGAGAAUCACACGGGCAAAAAUUAGGGAACACGGGCGUGUUCCCUGGCCGUGUGUCCCAAAAUCUAUAAAUACCCUACACUAUUCAUUGUCUUCUUCACUCAAAAUCCCUAACCCUAGCCACUACAGAUCCACACGGCCUCCCUACCACGCUCGUGCACCACUUCCCACUCCAUUUUUUGAUACCCAAUCUCUCUCCCUUAGUGUUUGUUUACUCUUUUCACUUCUAUUUUACUUAUUUCUAAUGCUUAUUAUCAAAAUAAUCUUCAUUCUUCUCAUACUAUUUUCAUUUUGCUCAUUAUUCUAUCAUUUAAUUUGCGUUAUUAGGUUAUUUAACAUACAUUUAAAUCGAGUUGUUAGGAAAGCCUCAUUCUAUUAUCAUACCCAUGCCAUUACUAUGUUCAUUCCCAUGCUACUACCAUGCUAAUGUCACGAAAUUAUGCUAUCAAACUGAUUAUUCUGGUUGAGUUUGGUUAGUAUUAAUAGUUUUGGCUAAAAUUGUUAGUUCAAAUUCAUGGCUUUUCCCUUUUCAAAUUCGUUUACCUACUAUUAUUCUUUUUUAUAUUGCAGGUAUACAAUGUCGUCUUCACGUGGUAAAAAAACGGUCGUCCCUGCUUCAAAGAAAAGGAAGGGAGCGUCAUCUUCCUCGGGUCUUGCCGGGAAAAUUCGUCACCCUUUCCUGCAAUACCCUAUUGGGCCCCAAGAAGAACUUUUCCAAAUACUCUAGGCCCGACCUUUAAUUGCAUGCCGCUGCAUCGACUGGGCUGCACUAGAACAAGUUCAGUUGGCUGAUGUGAUUCGGGUCCUCCUGACCACCGACCCUUGGGAGCUUUUCUUUGGGAUCAUCGAGCCAACAUAUCUCGAGCUCACGAUGGAACUAUGCUCAACGUUUCAUCUUUAGACCGUAAUGACAAACUACGAUGAUCCCAGCACGGUCCAAUUUCACCUAGGCGGAUUAGUCCGCCAGCUAACCAUCCCGGAAUUUGGUACUGCACUGGGCUUAUAUACGAAGGAGUUCAAGGAGGAGAAUGACUAACAUGCUUUCAACCGUCACAUCAAUCGGUCUCCUUCACAGUGCUGGGAUGCACUAGUACCACGUUCGGCCACCUAAGACCCCAGUCGCUCCAAGGCAUCAGCUCUCCCUCCAUCAUUGAGGUAUUUACAUUCUAUUUUAUCUCACACCUUGACAGGGCGGAGAGAGAGCACCGGCGUCGUCACCAGUCACGACGUCUACUACUUAUGGUGUAUGUCGCAUGGGCAUGUCUUGGACCUUGCCUACUUUAUCUCCCUCGCCAUUCUCCACCAGACGGAGUGACAUUGGAAGGGGGUCAUCUCCAUUGGCCCUUAUAUGACUCGACUGGCGUGUCACUUCGGGCUCCUCGACACCGUGGCACAAGAAUCAUCCUUGACCCUCAUUGGCUAGAUGUCUCCAUAAGGCACCUCGAGCAUGCUAAGCAUGAGGAUGAUCAAAAAGCGCCAAGGAACCUACCCUCCUUAAUACCGUCUCACCCAAUCUACCGAGGAGGAGGCCCCCGAAGACAUUACUGAUGAUGUCCCUCCACAGUACGAGGACCCAGCGUCUCAGCCACCACACUCCCAUCGUCCAGUUCAUGCGACGACUUCAUAUGUUGACAUCUUUGAGCGCUUCACUCAAUUCGAGCAGCAGUGUUUUCAACGAUUUGAUAACAUUGAUGCUACUCUACAGCAGAUUUGUCAGCACUUCCACAUCUCAUCGCCACCACCACUUCUCGAACCAUCUGCCGAUGAUGAUGAUUAAUUUUUUUAAUUUUAAUUUUAAUUUUAUUUUCAUUUUCAUUUUAUGUUUUUAUUAAUUUCACCUUUAACUUCUAAAUGUUAUUUCCUUUUUGUUACUAUUUUAGGUUUUAUAAACAAAUCUCAGUUAAUUCUUUAUGAGUAAUUAUUCUUCCUAAUAUCCUCUAAAAAGUUCCUGAUUUUAUCACAGUUAUAAAGAGCUACAAAGCUUACCAUUACUUAGGAACUUGAAACUCCACUGGGAAAGGUUCUCCACGACUGCCAUGUCCUGCUCGACCAUGACCAUAGCUACCACCAGAUAUAAUAUUCUUUUGGCGCAGGACUUAUGGACUAAUGAACCUCUACCACCGCCGGAGUAUCCUCCUCCACCCUCACGCUGAUUAUUCUCCAAAACUCCAGUUCAAGGAAAUUCAUUCAUCACUCAGGAAGUUUCACUUCUCUCCCUAUCUUAUAUUUAUAUCCUUUUUUAUAUAUCUAUCUUUGCACAUUGAGGGCAAUGUACAUCUUAAGUGUGGGGGGUAUUCAUUUCACAAUCAGAAAAAUCCCUAAAUUUUGUCUUAUUCUUAUGCGAUCUGUUCAUAUCAUUAUUAGAAUGAAUUCCGAUUAGUUUCUAAUGUUUAUUGAUAUAUCUUGAAUUAAAACAUAGACAUUUAUGCAUUGAUGGUUUAAAAUGUAAGACAUUAGGGAAUCAAGUAUGAUAAGUUGAUUUUUUAAGAUUAAAAACUUUUACCUUGUUCCCCCAAGUUUAAGUAUUAUCUUGAGUUGGAAUUCACAAGUUUAAACAUCAAAAAGCCAUAAUUUUUUUGGGAUCUUAAGCCUGUAGAGCAUCUAUUAUUUCUUUCAUGCUCACUUUCAUUAUGAGAGCAUCAGUAUUGAAUUGUUAUUCUAGAACUUGCUUGAUUAUGUAUGUCAAAACCACACCAUUUGAUUUGAUAUGUCAAGAUGAUAAAGGCACUUAGGAUUAACCCACUCAUGCCAUGAAAAGCCUACCUUCACAAUUAACCCUUAGUGAACCCCCUUGAGCCUAACAACCAGUCAUUGAUUUACCCUUAAUAUUAACCCAAAACUCAUUAUUGUUGAAAUCCCCUAAAUUAAUUUGAUCCCUAUUUUUGUUGAGAUUUGAAUUGAAAUAGUUGUUCAGCUAUGUCUUGUUCUUAAUAGUUACUUUAUGUUAUUUGACUUGUUGUUCUUAAAAAAAAGUGUAUACAUAUUAGUAGUAAUCUUUUGUUUUUGAGCUAAGUAUUUAAAUUCUAUAUUCUAAGAAGAAGCCCUGUUGUAGGCAAGUGAUGAUUAAAUCUUUUACUAGUUAAGUAAAUUUUCAAUUCAAUCUCGAUUCUAACCUUUUCUUUCAGCUUGUGACGACAACCCCUAACCAAGCCUCGUUAUAACCCUCUAAAGACCUUUUGAUUGAUGUAUCGUCUCAAUUUAUAGUGGUGGAGAUUUGAUUUUCAUGCAAGCCUAUGGUAAUAACUUUUCAUAUUGACUGAUGAGUGCUAAUUUCAUUGUCCUUAAACACUUUGAGUGAUUUGAGUGAAUCUUUAGUGAGGAUGUUAAACUCCAUGAGAUUUUAAAUCGAGGGUAACCACCUAGAUAAGGGGAGAUACCUAUGUUUUCAUGAAAAAAUGGUUAACUUGGAAUGUUUGAAACUUUCAUGUUCUUUCAAUUGAAUUCUUAAUGUAUGAUUACUUAUGGAUUAUUUUGAGAUAUUAUCGAUAGAAAUUAUAAGUUGAGAAGAAUUUAGUUUGGUUAUGAGUUGAGGAUUUUGCUUGAGGACAAGCAAAUGCUUAAGUGUGGGGGUAUUUGAUAAACCGUAAUUUAUACAUAUUUUUAUCUCAUGCUUAGCAUAUUUUAUGGAUGAUUUUUCCUUAGAUUUGGUGAAUUUGAUGCUCCUAAUGCCUUAAUUUCAUGUUUUAUACUUAGGAGAGCAUAGGAGAGUGAAAGGAACGAGAAACGGGCCAAAAACGGAGAAAAUGGACUAACGUACGAAAUCAUCACGGCCUGGACUUCCUCACACGGGUAGACCACAUGGCCGUGUCUAUUUGGCAGAAUCGAAGCACGACUCACACGGGUGGACCACAAGCCCGUGCCUUUUUAACAGGCUUGACCACGGCCUGAAGUAAUCGCACAUGGGUGUGUCACACAGGCGUGUCCUUGUCGAGCCCAAGUUGAGUCCAAUUUUGAGGGUUCUUAGGCAUUCCAAAGCCUAUAAAUACACCCUAAAGGAGGAGGAAAAGGGGACACACAGAGAAGGAGGCAGGGAACUGCUCAAGGAAAGCCGAUUGAUCCAUCUCAGAGGUCGUAUUCAUCAUCAAGACUGAAGAUCUCUCCUCAAUUUCCCUUCAGGAGUUUUGGGUUUUUCUUUAUGUUUUAUAUUCAUUAUUCUUCUGAGAUGUUUAUUUUUUUAGUUAUGAACUAAAACCCCUAAAUACCUAAAGGGAAUGAAACCUAAGACAGACCUUGUUAUUAUUAUCUAAAUUGUAUGAUAAAUAUUUGGCUUGUUCUUAAUUAUGUGUUCUUAAUUCUUGUCUUGAUAUUCUAGGAUAUUAAUUCAAGUUAAGCUCUUAUUCAAAGGAGGAAUAGACCCUGUCUAAGAGUACAUUUGUCAUAAUUAAGCGGAGUUGGUUGCGCGCCUAGAGAUAGGGUGACAAGAUUUUGUCAGAUUAGGGUGAAACCUAAUAAGAGGAUCCAUAGAUCGAGUUAAUACAACCCUAGGAAGUUAAUUAGAAAGAGAUUUCAAUUAUUAAACCUAGUGUUAGACGUUGUUAGUCUCGAGAGAGAUGAUAAUAUAACUUAGGGAUUUCUACGGAUCAAGUCAAAUGAAUAAAUCGUCUGAUUCAGCGUCAAAUAACAAGUGAAGUCUAGGUGGAUUUUUCCUUAGGUAUUGUCUUGAUUCAAUCGUUUUUCCAAAAAGUAAUUCCCCAAUUCUAUUUUCUAUGAUUUCUUAGUUUAGUUAAUUAGUUAGUUAAAACAAUCCCCAUUAUUCUUAGGCUAGAUUAUAAAAAGACAGUCAUUACUAGUACUUUUAGUUCCUUUGGGUUCGACAAUCCAGUCUUACUAAAACUAUACUAUUGUUUGAUAGGUACACUUGCCUUCAUCGUGAUAAUAGCUAGUUUCAAGAAUGAUUCAUUAUAAAUAUUUAAAAACUUGUCACGAAUAUCACAUAUCACAUUCCUUGGCCAAUUUAACCUAUACAUGCCAUUAUAACCACAUUUGUUUUACCUCACAUAUCAAAUUGAGUCGAUGGAUAGUGUGAGUGAUCUCCGUCGAGCUUCCAAUCCAACGAGCUUUCGAUUUACUAUAGUAGAGGGAAAAAUAAAAUAGAGUAAGCAUAUAGUAAGCAUAUAAAGCUUAGUAAGUUCGUAUAACUUGGUAAUUAACUUACCAACUAUUCAUAUUAAAGAUAAACAUAUAAAUCACAAUCAACCAUUCGGUCCCAAGCCCUAACAUAUAUUUUCAUCACCCUUGUUAGUAAUUUACUUCAUAAAAACAUCAAGAAACACAUAUAUGAGCUCAACAAUAUUAGGAUUCUCAUACACAUAUGUUUUCCAUAUUAUGUAGUCAUAGAACAUAUUUACAAAUUAUUUCUAUAUUUUUCAAGUACAUUCUAUAAUAAUUCAUCUCGAGUUUUAGUGUAUUUCAUGUCAGAACUUUGCUCAUUAUUCAACCGAAAUAUUAAUAGUCACACAGAUAAUACACUCGAAAUGUACAAAUCUAUUCUCAUAGAUGAAUGUAUUCAUCAAACAAAUUUCCAUGUUCGUAUAUCAUAAUUUCAUACUUCCAUAUUUCAUAUAACAUCAUUUUCAUAUACUUCAAGCAAAUACAUGUAAAAACUCGUUUCUUUCAUGUCAGGAUUUUACCCGUUGAAUUAUUGAAAAUAUCAAUGGAUACUCAGUUGUACAAAUAAAGUAUACAAAUCAGUAAAUCCAUCAAUUCAUAUUCAGGAGUACCCAUUAGGGCACUUAAUCAAGAAACACAUUCUCGAGCCACAUAUUAUAUAACAGGAUUACCAGUCUAGGCUAAAUCCUAUCUCCAACAUAUGCUCACAAGAGCUUAAUUAGAAUUACCAGUCCAGGCUAAAUCCUAAUUGUAAUGUAACAACCAAUUUUUCAAUGAAAUCAGAACAGUGGUUUCGGGACCAUAAAUCUGAUCCGAAAAUAAAAAAAAAUAUUUUAUUUUAUUAUAUGGUCCGUGUUAUGUUAGAAGUGUCAUGUGAAAAUUCUGAUAAGAAAAUUUUAUUGAUUAUGUGCUUAAUUACGAGAAGGACUAAAUAUAAAAUAUAAAAGUUGAAUUAUAGUAGCUAUAAGGAUUAAAUAGCUAUGGAAUUCAAAAAAUUAGAGGUCCUUGUAUGGUAAUUAAACCAUUAAAGAAAAGUAUGUAGAUAUUUUGGUGACUCAUCCAUGUAAAUUUAGAAAAAGGGUAAGAACUAAAUUGGAAUUUGAAAUAAUUUAGUUAAUUAAAAAGAUGAUAAAAGAUAUCAUCUUCAUUUUUAUGUCAUCUUCAACCUAAAAUACAUGGAAACCCUAGGAGAGCGAGAAGAAACUUUCAUGGCUUAAUUGGGUAAGUUUCCUUGUCCCAUUUUUAGUAAUUUUGAUAUUUUUGAAAUCGAGAUAGCUUAAUCUAUCUAUUUGGGGGAUCAAUUUGAAAAGUUAUCAAGGUAUGGAAAUUGGGUCAUGGAUGAAUAUGCCGAAAUUUUAAAAUUUAUGGUAGAAAAAUGAAAGGUUUUUGAUAGGUGAAUAACUUUUACAAAGUAAUUUUUGAUGAAAACAUGAUUUAGGGAUUAAAAUGUAAAGUUGUGAAAAUUGAUGAAAUAUUAUGAAAAUUAUAGAAGAUAUUUGCUAUAAAUUCUAUAUUAAAAUUUUGGUUAGGCUUGGAUUAGAGAGUAAAUUGAAUAAAUUUUAUUUUCCGAGCCUAGGGACGAAAUUGGAAUUUAUGGAAAAGUUAGGGGCAAAAUGGUAAUUUUGCCCAAGACGUAAAUUGAGUCCAAAUAAAUAUGAAAUGUGGGAAAUUGAUGAUUAAAGUUAUUUAUAUAGAUCCAGACAACACAAAUUUGAGGUAACAUAGAGGAAAAGAAAAGGUUUCGGAUUAGUAGAUUUUAUACGCAAACCAGUGUCGAGGUAAGUUCGUGUAACUUAAUCGAACAUGUAAAUAUGAUUAAAUUGAAUAAUGUUGUGUUUGUAUGUAAUAUGACUUAUAUGGAUGUGAGUUAUUUGAUUGCUAUAAUGAAAAAUUGAAUACGUGCUUGUAAUGGUGAAAAAGGGGUAAGCUCCAUCUGAAUAUUGAAUUCGAUGAAUAUAUGUUCUUCCCGAAAUGAAUGAGGUCCUGUAUUUGUUGCAAAUGGAAUUUAGCUUGGACGAGUAAUCAUAUUGACCUCAUUAUGGAAAGGAUUUAGCCCGGACGGGUAAUCAUGAUAUAAUACCUCUCGAGUAUAUGUUACAUUAGGGUUUAGCCUAGACUGGUAAUCCUAAUUGAGCUCUUCUGAGCAUACAUUACGAAAAUGAUUUAGCCUGGACUGGUAAUCCUGUAAUGCGUUAUGUGGCUCGAAAGUGUGUUCUUUGAUUAAAUGCCCUAUUGGGUACUCUUGAGUAAGAAUUGACGGGUUAUUGAAUCAUACACCUUGAGUAUACUACUUUAGUAUCCAUCGGAAUUUCAAUGAUUCAACGGACAAAACUCUUGGCAUGAUGAGAGAAUUAUGAGACGAAAUGAUACUGUCUUGAAAGAAUAUUGCAUGAUAAGCUCAUCUAUGUUUACUUGAUUGAUGUGAAGAUUUUGUGACUAACAUGUUUGAUUGAAUGCAUGUGUUUAGGCAAUUUUUCCAAAUGGACGAAAACCAUGAUAUUGUAUGCUUAGAUUUAAUAAAAGGAAUUGGUAAGUUUAGUUUUCGUUAUAUGAACUUACUAAGCAUGUAAUGCUUACUCCGUCUUAUUUUCCCCUGUUUUAUAAUGCUCGAAAGCUCUCGAAGGUUGAAGGUCAUUGAAGCGUCAUUACACUAUCCACUAGCUUAUUUUUGGGUAUAUGUAGUAAAAUCAUUUUGGUUUAAUGGCAUGUAUAGGCUAACUUGGCCAUUAGAAUGACUAGUAAUGGUUGUUUUUGAUAUACUUGUAAUGUCAUACUAUGGUAGCUAUAUACAUGUUAAAGGAUUGUUCAAGUUGUGCCUAUCAUAUGAAAUAAACCAAGGUAAGAUUAUAAACAUAUAUGCAUGUAAUGAUAGGUCUUAUUGAAUAAUGGAAUUUGCUUAAUUUUAAUGCUUGAAUUGGUUAGUAUUGGAUGUGAGUUUUAAGUCCAGGUCAUUGGUGAAAUUUUGGAUGAAAAAUGAAGCUAGAAAUGGCUUUAUUUUGUCAACAUGGGCGGCGUGUGUCUAGACCGUGUGUGACACACGGCCUAGUACAUGGGCAUGUGGUUAGGCCAUGUGUGCCUUGCACCUUAAGUUUGAAAAAAUAGAAUGCUCAGAAUUGAGCACAUGGACAGAGACACAGGUGUGUGUCUCAGCCGUGUGUGCUACACGGCCUAGAACACGGGCGUGUGUCUUGGUCGUGUGAAACCUGCACCUAAUUUUGAAAGAAUUUAACUAACCACAUGGCCUAGCACACGGGGCGUGUGGCAUGGCCUUGAGCACAAGUCGGAGAGUUACAUGGGGUCCAACAUGACUUGCAACACGAGCAUGUCCCAAGGUCACACGGGCGUGUCCCUUGGACCACACGGGUGUGUGAGCCCUGCACCUUGGAAAUUUUUUUGAAAUAUCACGAAAAAUUCUUAGAGCUUUCGAUUAAGUCCCGACUUGGUUCUAAUGCUCGUAUUAGGCCUCGAGGGUCUAUUUAAGGGACGAUAUGAAUAAUCUUGGUUAAUGAAUAGUAAUUUCUAUAAGUUUUCUAAAAAUGUUCUGAAAGUUUCGAUAAUGCUCUGUAACCCUGUUCCAGUGAGGGAUAUGGGUUAAGGGUGUUACAUGUAACAUAUGCUCGAGAGCGAUUAUAUCAGGAUUACCCGUCCAGGCUAAAUCUUAUCUAUAAUGAGGUUAAUAGGAUUACUCGUCUGAGCUAAAUCCCGUCAGCAACAAAUGUAGGACCUCAUUCAUUUUGGGAAAUCACACAUCCAUAGAUUUUUCAUUUAUUAAAAUAGAAUCUGACAUUUAUUAGGCAAUUGUCAAGUAUGUGAUCAAUCUCAUAUAUUAAUGCAUUUAUGCAAUUCAAAUAUUCACGUUCACAUCUAACAUUUUUAUCAUUUAUCACUUAUUGGGUAUUAUUAUUUAUUUCAGGCACUUUCAUUUAUCGGGCUUUAACAAAUAUGUGAUAAUUUCACAUAUUUAUGACAUUUAUACAAUUUCAAGCAUAUAAACAUAUACAAUUUAGUUAUACGAACUUACCUCAAUAUGUGUUCGUGUACAUAAAGUCUACUAAUCUAACAUUUUCUCAUUUCCUCAUUCUAACUCCAUAUUCAGAUUAUCCAGAUCUAUACGAGUAAAUUUAACAUCAAUUUAAAGUAAUUCAUACUCAAUUUAGUCCAAUUUACACUUUAAGAAAAAUUACCAUUUUGCCCCUAAACUUUUAAUAAAUGACGAUUUCAUCCCUAGACUUGGAAAAUAAAGUUCAUGCAAUUUAAUCCUUGUUCCGAGCCUAACCAAAUUUUUCAUGUAAUAUUUACAGCCCAUGUAUUUCAUAAAAAUCAGAAUUUUUCUAUGGAUUUCUCAUUUUUACAAUUUAGUCCAUAAAUCAAGUUUUCAUCAAAAUUCACUUUGUAAAAGUUGUUUAUCUAUCAACAACCUUUCAUUUUCUACCAUAAAUUUCAUAAUUUCAGCAUAUUCAUCCAUGGUAAAAAUUCUAUAAUUUGAUAUCUUUUCAAAUUGAUCCCCAAAAUAAAUAGAUUAAGUUACACCGGUCUCAAAAAUAUAAAAAUUACUAAAAAUGGAGCUUGAAUACUUACCUAAUUUGACCAAGAAAGCUUGCUUUCUCUUUCCUAGAGUUUCCAUGCAAAAUAUUUGGGGAAGAUGAUGAUAAAUGAUGAUAUUUUCAUCUUUUAUUAUUUAUCACCUUUAUUUUUUUAUUCUUCCAAUUUUGUCCUUUUCUUUAAUUUUAUUUUCCAUGGAUGAAUCAUCAUCCUUAACGACUAAGAAUUUUUAUUGGUUUGAUUACCAUAUAAGGACCUCCAAUUUAUAUUUCUAUAGCUAUUUAAUCCAUUUAGCUAUUAGAACUCAACUUUUGCACCUUAUGUAAUUUGGUCCUUUAUCGAUUUAAGCAUGUAAUCAUAAACUUUAUUCACGAAAUUUUCACACAAUAUUAUUAUCAUAUUAUAGAACAUGAAAAAUAUUAAAAUAAAAUUUUCUUUUCGAAAUCGAAUUUGUGGUCUCGAAACCACUAUUCCAAUUUCUCGAAAAAUGGGCUGUUACAUAACGUUUAUGGGUUUUUGGGUUUGAGCCCGUAACCCUUUCUCUUUUCUUUUUUUUUUUGAUUGAAACCCUCAACAUUACGAUUUUAUUAGAAAUCAUCCUAAUUUUAGUAGGAAACAUGAGUUGACCAUUAAUCAAAUGAUAGGUCAACAAAAUAGUCUAUGUGGCAUGCCACAUAACACGAUAUUAUAGAUAACAUUAUAUAUAAAAAAUUGUUUAACAAAUUUUUUUCAUUUUUUCCAUAUUUCUUCUUGCAACAGCCUAUUUUUAGUAAAAAUUGAAACAGUGGUUUUGAGACCACAAAUUUGAAAUUAAAAUAUUUAUUUUAUUAUUAUUUUAAUGUUUAGAGUAUGUUAGCAAGGUCAUAUAAAAAUUUCGUUAGGAAAUUUUGACGUCUACAUGCUUAAUUUAGUGAAAAGGACUAACUUGAAAAAGGUGCAAAAUAAGUAAAACAAAACAAAUUUCCUUCUCCAUCUUCUAGCCAAAUCUUAAAGGACAAAAAUCACCAUUUUUGAACAACCAAGCAUUCAGCCAAGCUCUUCCAUUGCAUGUGAGUAUAAUUUUGUCCAUUUUUUUAAUGAUUUCUAUGUUUUUGAAGUCGUUGUAGCUUAAUCUAGCUAGCCCAGGGACUAAUUUGUGAAACUGUUAAAGUAUUAGGGUUUUAUCGUUAAUGAGUGUGUAUGUGUUUUGAUGUUUGAUGGUAGAAAAUAAAUGGUUGUUGUUAGAUAAACAAGUUUUGUAAAGUGAUUUUGGUUGAAAAUGUCAAAUAGGGAUUAAAUUGAGAAAUGUGAAAAUUAUGUGGUAAAUGUGUGAAAUAAUGAAAUGUAUGGGCUGCUAUGGGUCUAUAUAGAAUUUGGCUAGCAUGGUUGUAUGUUAAAUUGCAUGAAUUUGCAUUUUUAUGAGCUAAGAACUAAAUUGUAAAGUAGUUAAAUGUUUAGGGGCAAAAUGGUAAUUUUUUCAUAAUAUGAAAUUGGGUUGAAUUGAAUUGAAUAAAUAUUAAAGUGGUUAAGACGUUCGAAAUUAAAUCGGGGGUAGAUUUUCUCCAUACUAAUUCGAGGUAAGUUCAUAUGUUUAAUAAGAAUUAAAUUAUAUAUGUUUGAAUGAUUAAUUGAUAUAAUUGUGAUGAUACGACACUGUGAAAAUUAUCGAUAAGUUAUCGACAAUGUAUGAAUCUCGGUUGAACCUUAGGAAUAGAUGGGAUACAAAUGACAUGUCAUUAGGGGUUACCAUGUUUUGGAUGCUUGUCCUGUAUGUUCUACUAGUGGCUGAGUUUAUUGGCAUGUGUUGCGUUUACUCAUCAGCUUGUGUGAGUAGCACCGUGUAGCUACGUCUUGACCGUCAGCUUGUGUGAGCAAACCUAGUGAUAGCUCGAGAGUGAGCAUUUAUUUGAGAUAUGAGAUAGAGAUGGUUUUGACCAUGUAUUGGCACUUAGUGUGUGAGAUUCCCAAGUAUCUGAUAGUAUUCCAAAUGGUUCAACAAUCAAAGAUGAUGGCACAAGGAUAUAAGAUAUGAUAUGAACCAGUUCAAGUAUUUGUGAGAAAUUUGUCAAGUAAUUCAUAGUUGAUGUACUCAUACAUGACUAACAUGGUUAUGAUUAUGUGCUAACCUUUGGAUUUGAUUAUAACUUACCUAUGUUUAUUUAUACUUCUUUAUAUUGUGAAUGAAUGGUAAGUUGUAGUUAUGACCAUACGAGCUUACUAAGUUUAAUUGUUUACUUUGUUUAUUUUUUUGUGUCUUAUAGUGAUUUCGAAGCUUGCUCAGCUUGGAAGUUAUUGGAGAUCUCAUCACGUUAUCCAACAGUUGUUUUGGUACUUUUGGACUUAAUGUAUUUUGGUAAUAUGGCAUGUAUAGGUCAUUUGGCUAAUGAAAGCCUAUAUGUUUCGGUUAUGUAAUUAGUCAUUUAAAAUGGCUUGAUUUAGUAUGUGUGGUAUGUAUACAUGUGUGUUUAGCCAUGCGACUUGGCUUAUAUUGAUAUAUUUGAUUAUAUAAAUAUGUAUAAAUGAUCUUUUGGUAUGUCGUAAAGUGAUCUUUGAUAUGUUUUUAUGCAUAUCAUAUUGUUGUAUGGAUAGUAUAUGAUAUAGGCUUGAUAUUGGUUGGUUUUAAGUGCCCAUUUAGGCCUUGGUUGUAUGUGCAUUGUUGAAUUGACAUCACUUUGGGUGAAGAAUGUGGCUUGGAACAUAGUCUAUUUUUGUCCAAACGGACAAAGACACGGGCAUGUGUCUCAGCCGUGUGUGACACACGGCUAGGUGACACAGCUAUGUGUCCCUUGAUAUUUAUUUAGAAACCAAGUCAGUAGCUUCACACGGCCUAGCACACAGGCGUGUGGCUUGGCCAUGUGGCACAAGUUAGUAUACUCUCCAAUUUUCAUAGGGCCAAACACACGGCUUGGCAUACGGGUGUGUAAGGUCAUUUUGAAGGGUACACGGGUGCAACCCAAGUCAGUGAGUUACACGGGGUCGGACAUGGGCUGGGACACGACCAUGUGAUCUCAUUUCGAAUGUCCACACGGCCUGUGACACAUCAUAGAAUAUUCAAGAAAACAACUCAAAAAACACUAUUGAAGCAGAUUCUAAAACAUAUUUCUAUUAAGAUUGAAGAUUCCUAGUUGAUUUCUCAAGAGAUUAUAAUGAGUUUAUUUAUUUCUUUCGGUUAUACUGUCUUUGGGAUAUUUUUAUUUGCAAGCAUGAACUAAUUUUCUAAAUAUCUAGGGGAGAUGUACCCUAUAUGGAUUCUAUCAUUUGAUUUCUAUUUUAUGCAAUAAAUACUUAGAUCUUGUUCUCAAUUAUGUGUGCUUAAUUCUUUGUUUGAUAUUUCUAGACUAUUGAUCCAUGUUUGAUGUGCUUAAAUAAGAGGAUGAAUAGACCUUGUUUAAAAGUAGAUCUAGAAUUGAGUGGAGUUGCAUGCAAUCCUAGAAAUAGGAUGACCUAAAUCUACCGGAUUAGAGUCAAAUCUAAUAAAGGAAUCCAUAGAUCGAGUUAAUGUGGUAAUAGGUAUUUUAAUUAGAAAGAAGUUUCAAUUAAUCAACCUAGAGUCAGUUGCUAUUAUUCUUGAAGAGAGAUAUUAACAUAAUUUAGGGGUUUCUAUGGAUCAACAUACUAAGUUAAAAAAUUGUGUAAUUUAUAUUGAUAAUGACAGAUGAAAUUUAGGUGAAUUCUUUCCUAGGUAUUGUUUCGUUUCUUGGUUAUUAUUUGAUUAUUUUCUUGAUUUGUUCUCUGUCAUGUUCAUAGUUAAUUAAUUUAGCUAAUUUUAGUUCUUAAUUAAUCACUCAAAUUUAUCAGUUAAAUAAUAGAAAGGCAAUAAUUAUUAAAACUUUUAGUCUUCAUGGGAAUGAUAUUUGUGCUCACCAUAGCUAUACUAUUGAUUGAUAGGUGCACUUGCCUCAGUCGAAUUUUUAGUUGGUUUCGUGGAAAUUAAUUGUCUAGUUAUUUUGACAGUCAUGCAAGUUUUUAAUAGUAUAAUUGAAUGAAAUUUGUAACAAAAAGGACAAGUUUGCUCUUUGAUCUAACAUAUAAGAUUAAUUUGCCUUUUUUUUAGAAAAGGGAACAAAAUGCAAUGCAACUCCUAAUAUAAGAGCUUUUAUGGCACUCCUACUGUAGACAUAACAUUCCAUGUGUUUCAACAAAAUUUAUGUUAAGCAUAAAUCUAAAAACUAUGCAUCAACUUUUAUUUAAUGUGCAAUUUGAUACAUUAAUAAUAUACAUAUGAUUCUAAUUGUUAUUCAAAUAUAUAUAUAAAAUUUUUAUUUUGAUUCAUUUGUGUAUAUUUUAAAAAAUAAAUACAUUAAUUUAUUUUUAUAUUGAAUAUAUAUAAUUAUUUGUGUAUACAACAUAUAAACUUGAAAUGAUGUUAUAUCAAUAAUUAUGUUAACCGUUUAUGAAAAUUGAAUCAAAUCAAAAUUUACCUAUAAAAUGUUAUCUUUUGUAUUUUUUUUAAUUUUAAAAUUUUUACAUUUAAAAAUAAUAAUAGUAAAUUUUUUUGGUAGAAUAAAAAAAAUUAAUAACUACAACAAACUUUUGACUUUGCCCUACUAGUUUAUCCCUAUUGCAAAAACGUAUGGGGAAUGUCUGAAAGGUUUCUUUGAAUUGUCUUCUCCAUAGUUUGUCCACUGCUACUUUGAUUUAACCGUUCAGGUUUAUAUCAAAACUGGAAUGUAAAAUAUUGCAAGUGCUGGGAUUUGAACUCAGUAUUUCUAUACAGUACUUGAACCGUGAGCAAUGGUCGCUUACCAUAGAUAACUAUGUCCCCAUCAAAUGUCAAUAUAUAACAAUCAAUGAGAAUAUUCUUGGUCGACCAUUCAAUUAAUUUUUUUUUUCUUUUUACGUACUUAUAGACCCAUUCAACGGUUGUGAAGAUAUCUACAUGACAAACGUCAUAUAUAUGGGGCUUGAACUGGUAAAUUUUUUACCUAAGUUUCUUUCAUCUGCAACUAUUUAAUCUCAGCUCUGCAGCUUUUAUAAUGACCCUUUAAAACACAACAACAACAAUGGAAAGCAAGCUUUAUGAAGCAGCAGCAGAAGGGAAUGUAACUAUUUUCUUAGAAUUAAUUCGACAGGAUCACUUUCUUCUUGAUAGAGUGCUGGUUAAUUAUGUCAUCGAAACUCCUUUACAUGUUGCAGCAAUGCUUGGACAUACAGAUUUUGUGAGGGAGAUUAUACAAAGGAAGCUAGAGUUCACCAGAGAACUAGAUUUACGGGGUUCAUCACCUCUUCACUUGGCAUCAGCCAAAGGGUAUGUCGACAUAGUUAAAGCAUUGCUAUUUGUAAACCCUGACAUGUGCCUGGCUGUUGAUAUAGAAGAAAGAAACCCUCUUCAUCUUGCAGCCAUGAAAGGCCAGGUUCAUGUUUUGAAUGAGCUAGUCCGUGUUAGACCGCAAGCGGCUCGAGUCAUUAUGUCAUGGGGAGAGACCAUAUUGCAUUUGUGUGUCAAGUAUGGACAAUUUGCGUCUUUCAAGGCAGUGGUUGAAGUAAUGAACAAUCAAGAAUUUGUGAAUGCUAAAGAUGAUUAUGGCAUGACAGUUUUGCACCUAGCUGUUGCUUACAAGCAAAUUGAGGUAUGGAUUAGAUUGCAUCACCAUAAUAUUUCAGCUUUAAGCUUUUUAUUGCUUUUGGUAAUGGUAUUAAUCAUCUGUACCGAUCAAAAUUAUGCAGACAAUAAAAUUUUUGCUUACCAGUACUAGCGUUGAAGUAAAUGGUCUAAAUGCAAAUGGUUUAACUGCAUUGGACGUUCUUGCACGAAGUAGGAGAGGAUUGAAAGACUUUGACAUUGCUGAGUCCCUUCGAGAUGCCGGAGCUCUAAGAGCCGCAGAAAUUUCGCA